ensembl:lncRNA
AUCUAGUGCAAAAUGAAUUUCCUUGUAAUCUCUAGUUAUAAAAAUUCUGUUCUAUUUUUUUUAAGUAUGGUAUGGUGUAAGUAAAACUGUGUUCUGAACUUUUUCUGGCAUUGAGAAACACAGGGUGAAAAUAUUCCAAAGUUGUUACAAGUCAUUCUUUUAAGAAUAUCUAAUGGUGUGAAAAAUGGUCACCAGAAGUGAAAAAAAGCAUGGGAUAAAGCUAAAUAGAACUGGAUUCCAUUUAGCCUCAAAGCUUCUGAACGCCCACUCAUGUGAGCAGCAUCUUGAUUCUGCAAGUACGUGCCCUUCCACCCCAGCCCGAGACGACCGUAUUGAAGUCCCUGUGAGCGAACAUCUAUCAAAAGCAAAGCGAUACGGAAUACAGGACCUUGGCAGGCAGAGAUGUACCCUGUGGCUUGGUCUUUCUCUGCUUGGCCGGUGGUGAUGAAAACAAUAACAAAGACCCUGACUUUGCUUAAUGACCAAGACUCGCUUAGAUAACAAACCAGCGCAGUCGUUGGCAGAGAGCCUUCUAGAUGCUUGAUGCAGUGUGACCUACUGGAGUGGGGAGGAGGGUCAGAAGGAAAGAGGGCCAAGUUACAUAUUGGUUCAACCGAAGCAGAUUAUCUUCUCUAGAUUUGGACUGAUGACCUUGUUUAUUAUUAACUAUCAUUUACUGAGAACUUUUAUGUGCCAGGUACCGAAUUAGGUACUUUAUGUUUUCUUGCAAGGUUUUGUUGCUGUUUUUCUUUUUUUAACAAAGGAGAAAAUUGAAUUUCAGAAUGGUUAAGUAAUUUGUUCAACAUUAUUACACAGUUUAUAAAUGGUACAGCCAGAAAUGCGAUCUUGGUAUGAGUAUAAAACAACUUUUACUCUUUCUUUGGUAAACACAUAGCUUACGCCUUACAAAUUUCAAAUUCAAGGUGCCAGAGGACUGCGGCUUAGAACGGGUGAGCUGGCCAUGGCAUAGCAAGUCAGUAAUUUAUAUACACAACCAUAUUGACUCUUUUCAUCACAGAGAAUUCCAGGAAAAUUCAGACAAGGUAGAAUCAUUGGGCAGAAUUGCAGAAGGAUUCCUUCUCAAUACUUUAAGAAUAAGAAAACCCCCCAGUCGGGGCUUCAUGAGCCUGUAAAAAAAAAUUUUUAAUGCCAUCAGGCUGUUGUUUUUAGUUUAAUUGCUCAUUAAUUUUUUGAUUUAAAAAAUAGGUUUCAUUUUUUUGUAAGAGUUUGAGAUUUACGGAAAAGUUGAGAAGCUAGUAUGGAGAAUUCCCAUAUACCCUGCACCCAGUUUCCGCUAUUAACAUCUAAUAAUGCACAUUUGUCAUAAUUAACGAACUCAUACUGAUUUGCUAUUAACUAAAGUCCAGAGUUUAUUCAGAUUUCCUUGGUUUUUACCUAAUGUCAUUUUCCCAUUCCGGGAUCCCAACCAGGAUACCACAUUACAUUUAGUUGUCAUUUCUCCUUAGGCUCCUCUUGGCUGUGAGAGUUUCUCAGACUUUUGUUGGUUGUGAUGACCUUGAUAGUUCUGAGAUUUACUCGUGAUUUUGCAAGAAGCAAGAGGAUGCCCAUCUACUGGGAUUUGUCUGAUGUUUUUCUCAUGAUUAGACUAGGGUAAUGGGUUUUUGGGUGGAGGACCUCAGCUGUAAAGUGCCAUUUUCAUCAUAUCAUAUCAAGGGUAAAUGCUGUCGAGAUGAUUUAUGACUGAUGUUGACUUCAUCACCUGGCUGAGGUAGUGUUUGUUAGGGUUCUCACUGGAAAGUUACAUUUUGUCCCCCUUUCCAUACUGUGCUUUUUGGAAGUCACUAGGCAUAGCUCAAACCUAAGUGGGGUGUGCAUUAACUUUUAAAAUAAUCAUUCAUCUCUCCCCGCCUCUCAAAGUGAUUUCUUCUUGUUCAACCUGAUUUGAUACCACUUGUGUUCAUUAAUUUCUUCACCUCUACUUCCACUCUCCCAAUUAUAACUAUCAAAUCAUAGACUUUCAGAGCUUGGAGGAGCAUAAAGUUUACCUACCCCUGUUGGGACUGGAUUAUCUGAUAGCCAGAUGAAGCAGAAAUGCAUACAUGUAUUGAAAGGAUUUCAUAUUCAAUUUUUCUCAAAAGCAAGGAAGUAGUCACCAUGGGAGAAUCAGAAAUUUGUUAGGUGUCCUGAUGUUUACUUUAAGGUCCAGUGUUUUUUUUAUUUUGAAUAAUAUCGAAAGGUGGCAUAGUGUUUUCAGUAUCAAAGUCCUAAGGACCCCUCAUCUUUAACAGAGGAGUUGGAGAGGUGAAGUGAGUUGACCCAGGUUGCAUAGGUGGGUGUCUCAAUUCAAGGAAACAAAGUCUGUUUGCUGCAGAUGGGGACAGACAUCUGCUAUGACACAGACUUCCCAACAAAACACAAAGGGCAGCUGCUACUUUGAUGAUGAGGACAAAGAGGAUGAAGGAGCACAGAAGUGUGAGAUGGAGGGAGUAGCACUUCUUCAAUGUUAUAUAAAAACAGUUUGCUUGGACAUCUACAAUAUUUAUAAGAAAAAAUAAACAACCAUAAAAUAACCUCAGAGGUAAGCACAAUUGUUAUCUUCCUAAAUACUUCAAAUUUUAAUCUUCUCUGUCUGUGGACUAAUAAGGGUGCUUUUUCUUGUACACUUCUAUCUUGUUUAAAUGUUUUACAGUAUAUUUUUGUGAAUUAAAACAUUGAAAUAAUU